UACGUAGGCAGCGAGCGUUGUUCGGAGUUACUGGGCGUAAAGCGUGCGCAGGCGGUUUUGUAAGCCAGAUGUGAAAGCCCCGGGCUUAACCUGGGAAUGGCAUUUGGGACUGCAAGGCUUGAGUGCGGCAGAGGAGACUGGAAUUCCUGGUGUAGCAGUGAAAUGCGCAGAUAUCAGGAGGAACACCGGUGGCGAAGGCGGGUCUCUGGGCCGAUACUGACGCUGAGGAGCGAAAGCGUGGGGAGCGAACAGG
rnacentral:rRNA from 1 species